AGAUGGAAUGACACAUUACAAGAUACACUACUAUUUUUCACUUUCCCAAGACCUGAAACACUACAAUGCUUGCGGAUUAACACGAACAUAAACAACAUUAUUUCCUGAACGAAAAGACUAGGGUAAUCCAAAGAAAGGUGAAGAAGCUACAACCCCUGCAUGCAUGCAUGCACUCUGAAUGAUCUCAAGGGAAAGGAACAACACCACUGCCUCCACCGAUGCCGGUUCCAACGCCGCCACCAACACCACCACCAACUCCUCCACCGGUACCACCGAGUCCUCCUAAUCCACCGAUGCCAGUAGUGCCGCCGAGGCCACCACCAAGUCCACCGCCAGCGCCAAAACCACCACCUAUUCCGGCACCAACUCCUCCAAAAGGUAGUCCAUUGCUCCCAAUUCCGGAAUAGCCACCAACUCCACCAUAGGUGAGGAAGUUCUUCUGGUCCUUGAGGCCAGCAUCUGUGGGUGCGUUUCUGGCACUUGUGGCCACAGCCAAAGCAAGAACCAAGACCAAGACACACAACUUAGCCAUGUCUCUCUCUGUUUGUUUCACUCCCACACACUAGGAAUUGACAAUGAGUAGUUGCACUCUCUUUUGGUUACUCUGAGUCUGUGUGGCGAAGUAUUUGGAGAGAUUGUUUUUUUAUAGGGGAGAAGUAAACUGACGGGUGAGGGGCAGUUGAGCAUGGUAAAUGAAACUUUAAUGUCUCUGCACAGAGCCAUGCUGUCAUCAGACACGUGGUCCCAAAUACAAUUUAAGACCAUUUUCCUACCCUUCCACAUUCGCUUAGGUCUACACGUAUAAAUUUUUCUUAUGUUAACUUGCAUUCCAAAUUAAACCACUUUGAUAUGUGAUCUCAGAUUAUCUUUCUAUUCAUUCUAUUUUAAUAUUAAAAUAAAUGGGAAACUUUUACAGAAAUGUAACUUUCAAGCGAUCCAGCAAGUUCAAACAAUAUUACACAUUUAGAUAAGUUGUGCUAAUUAAAUACUUCAUUUCCGAAGUUGUACUGAUCUAGUAUUACACAAAUACGUUGAAUUUGUUAUUCAACCACACGACUUUUCUUGAAAGUAUUUAUGAAAAAACCCUACUAGGUAAAGACGAUUUUGAUUAACAAUUUAAAUUUAAUUAACUUUUGAAAGAAAAAAAAAACAUUUAAUGCAACAAGGACUAUACUGGCUUUAAUAUAUAUAAAAUAAUGAAGAUUUUUGUGUAUUUUUUUUUUAUAUUGAAGUUGUGAUAAAAUAAUCAAUGUUUCUAAAAUAUAUUGAUUAAAAAUAGAUUAUGGGAUAAAUUAAAAAUAUUUUUUUAUAUUAUAAAUAUUAAGGACAUGUAGAUUUAGAGUUUAGGUUGAGAUUUUAUAUAUGAUUUGUGGUUUAGAGUUUGUGAUUUAGUAUUGAGGGUUCAAGAUUUGUGGUAUACCGUAUAAUGGUUUAAUGUUUAGAAUUGAGGGUUUUGUACACUGUUUAGGGCUUGGUUUUGAGUGUUACAACUUUGGGUUUAGGGACUGGAAAAACAUUUGUGUUCAAAUGAAGUAGGGAAAAUAACUCUCAUAAUAAAUCUUGUAUUAUGAAAUAGAUUUUAAUAAAAAAAUAUCGAUAUUAUUGCUAUAGGUAUAGGAGUAUUGUUGUAGUCUUAGCUAAAAUCAAGUGAACUGUUUCUCUUCUAUAUGAACUUCGCAUAUUCUCUCCAACACCCACAAUCUAUUCUCAUAAUCUUGACACAUUCCUCCUUGCAACCGAUCCAAUCAUCCACAUAAAGUCGAAGCAUUUUGAGCUUGAUCUCUAUUUCUUAUGUAACCAUGAAGAGUAGAAGCUUCCAUAGCUUAUUGAUCUAUCGACUCUUUUUCAAACUACAAACACGUUGAGAAAGCCUCUAUCCAGCUCUUCCUUUCACUCAUUUAAGCAUAAACUUAUCAUUGUAUCUUAUCUCACCAUAAGUUAAGGAGGAAUGUUACUUGGUCUUAAAAAAGUGCAUGCAUGGUUUUUGUGUACGUUUUCUGUUAGGAUGAUAAUAGGUUUCCAAAUAGUAAAAAUAUUCACUUAACAAUUAAAAAAUUAAUAUUUUAAUUAUAUUUAAUUUAUUUUUUAAUUUAAAAUAUUAUAUUAUUAUAAUAAGUUGUCAUAUUAUUUAUUUUUUGGAUAGUGAUACAUUAAUAAAACCUUAAUUUUUUUAUACAACUAUAUUAUAACUUCUAAUAUUAUCAUUUUAAUAUUUUUUUCAUAUAAUUUAAUUAUAAAUUUAUUUUUUAUUAUAUAUAUUUAUUUUUUAAAAUCGUUAUAUAAAAGUUGUAUAUAAUUAAGAGUUUUCAAACUGUUGUUUGCGAAAGGAAACUUUUCUUUUUCUAUUAUAAGCUUAUACAUUGGGUGCAGUGAUUCUCUGUUUGGUGUGUAACAAUAAUAUAAUGUUUCUCUUUCCUCUCUUCCUUUCCCUCUGCUCAUCUUAGAAAUAUUGAUGUAAAAUCAUUUUUAUAUCAUUUUAAAAUUUAAAUUUAGAUAUUUAAUUCAUUUCUAUAAAGUUGAUGCGUAAGAUGAAAAUUCAUUUAUUUUUCUUCCCGAAAAACUAAAACUGAAGAGUGAAGAAUGGGAAGUACUAGUGACGAGUGUCAAUGGUGCAUGCAGUGGUGGACUGAGGGAAAGGAAGCAGGGACAUAGAAGUGAUGUAUUACAUCACCGACGUUAUUUAUUUUAUUUUUUUGAUAAAAAAAUCAAUAUCCAUAUAAUAAGUAGAAUUUAUUUAACACAGUUUUAAUUUUAACAUGAAUUAUGAUUAGUGUUAGACUUAGUUCAACUUCAAACAAUGCAUUAUAUUCAGUUUUUCUUCUUUUGUCAUGAGUGGCAAAUAUAUUUAUUUAGCCAGAAACUUGAAAAAUUCAGCUGUGGGAAGAUUUUUUUUGCAUACAGUGACGUGUAUACGCGUCAAAAGUUUUUUUUUUCAUUUUAUUUUAAUUCUUCAUGACCUCGUUUCAUAUUUAUUUUUUUCUCUUUCCUCUUUUAUUUUUUCUUUUCAUCCUUAUCUUCUUUCAAACUCAUUUGCAGACAAAAAAUAAGAUGUAUAUUUAUCUUCCUCCAAGUAAGAAAAAAUAUAAAUGAUAAAUAUUAAAUUUAUACCCAAAAUAGGUGUCCAAGUAGAGAAUAGACAAAAAAAAUAUAAAUUAUAAACAUAAUAAAUGAUGGAAUGAAAAAGAAAUUCGAGUACACUUUUCAUGAAAAUAAGUUAAACAUUCAUGUUAAUAUUUUGUGUAGUUUAAGGAGCAUUUUAAAGUAAAUAUCAAUUAUAUUUUUAUUCUUUUAUAUAGAUAAAUUGAUCAUAUGAGAGGUUAUUGUAUAAAUUUAAUUUCUCGAAUCUUAAUAGAAUCGUAAAAAUGAGGUUUCGGCCUUAAUAGUCAUUUUUAAGCGAUUCACCGAAUACAAAUAAAAUUUUAACUAUUACAAUUGUGUGAUAGAUUGAGGAUUCAAUUGUACAAUUUAAGCACGAGAGACUAAAAUUGUACAAAUGAAAUAUUUAGAAUACCGAUCGUAAAAUUAAGAUUAAAAAAUAAAAUUACUUUCCCAGCAAAUAUAAAAAAAUAAAUUACUUAUGAGAAAAUUUAUGAUUCCGUAAAGUGGAACUUUUUGUAUGAUAUGCUACAGAGAUUGGGCUUUCAAAGUAAAUGGAUCAGGUGGGUUAAAGGGUGUUUCAAGUCAACAUCGGCGUCAAUUCUGAUUAAUGGGAGUCCCAUAACGGAAUUUUAUCUUUCCAGAGGGUUAAGGCAAGGAGACUCCCUAACCUCGUUCCUCUUUUUUGUUGUAGCUGAAGACUUAGUAUGGUUAGUGAGACAAGCACUAGAGGAGAAUCUGCUUAAAGGUGUGAAGGUGGGGAGGAAUGAACUUGAAUGUUGUAUGUUACAAUUCAUUGAUGAUACUCUUUUUAUGUGCAAAGAUUCAUACAACAAUGUGAUUACUAUUAAAGUUAUACUAAGGUGUUAUGAGCUUGCUUCUGGUAUGAAAAUCAACUUUCACAAAUCAAAGUUGGCAGGAAUAAAUGUUGAGAGGAACUCCCUUGAAUGUUAUGUGAAAUCUCUAAAUUGUACUCUCACAAGGUUACCUUUUAAAUAUCUAAGGCUAGUUGUAGGAGGUAGUGCAAGAAAGAAGCUGUUUUGGGAGCAAAUUCUGAAUAAAAUUAAUGAUAGACUUAGUGCUUGAAGGGGAGAUUCUUAUCUCUGGCACGAAGAAUAUGCUUACUCAAAUCAGUUUUCACUACUUUACCCCUCUCUUUUUUUUGUCUUCCUAUAAAGCUCCGAUAUCGGUAUGUAAUAGUAUUAUUAGUAUCCAAAGAAUAUUUAUUUAGGCAUGGGAAAGAGACCGCAAAUCUAUAUCUUGGAUAAGUUGGGAGAAUGUUUGCAAAUCUCUGGAGGCAGGAGGGCAGGGGAUCAAAGAUAUCAGAUUGUUUAAUAACGCUCUUUUGGCAAAAUGGAAAUGGCGGUUGGUGAGCAAUGAGCAAGGGAAAUGGAAAGAUAUUAUUCUCUCAAAAUAUGGCUCGGUGUCAAGGCGAAGUCAUAUCCAUUCAAAAUUUCAAUCUUGUUGGUGGAGAGACUUAUCUAAAGUAUGUGGUGAGGGAGAGCAAGAAGGAUGGUUCCAAAAAGCUUUAGUAUAGAAAGUUGGAGCUGGGGACAGAGUUAGAUUUGGAAGGAUGCCUGGAUUGGUAGAAGUAAUCUCGUCACACUGUAUCCUAGGUUGUAUUCCUUGUCUAUGGAUCAAGGGAUAACGGUGGGUGAGGUAGGUUUUUGUGAAGAAUAACAAGAAGAAGAAAUGCUAAGGUUAUUAUCUCAGGAGGCACUGAAUAGGGAGGUCUCAAGCAUUCAAGUUUGGGGAGGGGUUACCAAUGAGGGAUUUUCAGUGAAAUCAGCCUAUAAGUUCUUGGUUAAUCAAGACAUAGGUCCUUCUGAUGGUGUCUUUAAACAGUUAUGGCAAGUUAAAGUGUUGCCUAAUGUCUUAACGACUGCUUGGAGAUUUCUGCUGGAUAGAAUGCCAACUCGACUCAACCUUAUUAGGAGAGGAGUGGUAGUUAGCUCAUCUAUUUGUGUGUUAUCCAAGCCUUGGAAGAGUCCUCUCAGCACUUGUUCUUAGGAUGUUCUGUUGCACAACGUGUAUGGGAUCUCUGCUUUAGAUGGAUAUGUAUCUUAUUUGUCCAACAUAAGAACUUAAAGUGUCACUUCGAGAUUUCUACUUAGCACAUAUGAGCAUCAAGUAGAAUCAGGUUUGGAAAGGCAAGUGGGCAGUUGUAGUUAGGGGUUUCUUGAAGCAAAGAAACUCAAUUAUGUUCAAGCAAAGGGUUCCUGACAUUGAAGAAAUUUUUCAAUUGGCACAACAUAUAUCAUGGUUAUGGAUGAAACACAAGGUACGAACAUUCAAUUACUCAUUCUCGGAUUGACAUCUUAAUCUCGACCUAUGCAUUAAAAGUUAUUGCUAGAAGGAACGAUUGUCCUAGCAUACUUUGUUGUCUUUUCUUGUUUGCGAAAGGUGGAUAGUGGGUAUGUACAGGAGAUGAUUAGUUCAUUAUACAUAGAAGGAGUAGUUCUUUAGGAAGUCCACACCUUGUGGUGUCCUCUGUUCCUUUUUGGGUUAUGUUGGUUUUUACAUACUUGGUAUUACGUUGCUACAUAUAUUAUGUUGGUUUUUCGGAGGCAUGUCGAAGCACCUAUGUUAUGGUUUAAUAGAAGUUCCAAGUAUUGUUAAGGAAUAAUAGAACCUGCCAAGUGGUUAGACCUUCUUUGAGGAUUUGUCAUGUGUUUUCCUCUUCCAACAUUGAUAUCAUGCGGUGGUCGUGUUUUGGGUUUUGAAGUAGGCUUCUUCCUGUUUUCUAUGCACUUAGCCAAACAAUGGUUUACUAUAUUCUUAUCAGUAGCUUAAGUUUAUAUUGUUUUUGUUAAGGUAUGGAAGAUGGUUGCUGGUGUAUAAAUCUCAACGUACCAAAAAGGCAGCACAUAACAUCUACAUUGCAUAGACUCACUUCUAACAAGUGAAAUAGCUGUUAUAAGCUGUCAAUGACAACUUGGCUGGUGUUGCAAGAUUAUAUGCAGUGGAGGAAUAUGUGUCACUCCCAUGGAAGUUCUUUCGUUCUGUUUUUUAAGCAAUUUUAUCCCAAUUGGGCCAAUAUUUUUCAUCUCUAUGCAAGGAUCUAAAACCAUAGUUGGAAGGGGGAAGGGCAAUCAUUAAGGACCUGCAAUAUUGCUUUGUGCAUAACUUUUUUUCUAUUGGGUUUAUUUGUGGAGUGCGGGGUAUUUAGUAGUUUAAGUUUUUUUUAACUAUAUGGGUCACUUAGAAUGUAUUGAAUUGAUGAACUUCUAAAUUACGAGAGAACAUCUAUAAGAGUUGAAACACACUUCUUAAAUGUCUCUUUCUAUUUUAUUUAUCAUUGGAAUAAAAUAAAAAAACAUUUCCAACAAAUAUAAAAAAUAACGGAAAGUUCAUUAUGCUAAUUGGGAAUAUCACAUUUAAAAGAGUACAGAAAAAAAAAAUCAUUUUUUAAACCAGCUUGUGAAUCUUUACGCAAUAUUUUUAACAAAAAUAAUAUAUUUUUACUUUAAUCCUUAGUUUAUAUUUUAGUAUGAAGAUAUUUAUUAAAUAUAACUUAUUUAUAUUGCAUAGCAGAAUAGUAUACUAUAAAAAAAAGUUUCAUCGAGUAACAGACUGUGAAAUGAUAAUAAACAAUGAAAACGUAUUUAUACUGUGAGGAUCCUUUUUGUCAAAAUAUAUAAUAUUAAUGCCUUGGAGUUUAAAUAGCAAUGAGGGGUGCGAAUAACAGUUUUGUUUUUACUUUUGUUUGAAGAAAUAACUUAUAAAAUAGCCCAAAAGAGUGGGCGAAGGUUACCAAAUCCCAAGGCCUCAGUUUUAGCCCAACGUCUACUUUCAAAAACAAAUUGUAACCAAGACUAGCAAACAAGACCAAGGAAUAUCAAAUUAUUGUUAUUAACUUUUUUAUUUGAAUUUCAAUAAUUAAAAUUUGUAAAAGGAAUAAAUUAAAAAUAGCAUAUUAAUCUUGAUGUUGAAACAAAUUUAAGUUUCAAUGGACAUUAAUUAAAUAUUAAUGGUUUUUAUUUUUCCUCUCCAAAAAUUAGAGACGUUGUAAAGAAUGCUAACAACAGCAGUUAUUGUCUUAUUAGAAGUAUUAAACUGUUAAUUUUAUUCUAAAUGUAUGCAAUAUUUAUAUAAUAUUAUUAUGAAUACUUAUAAUUAUUACCAUUCUUAAAAUCAGUAUUUCAAAACUAUUUUUUAGAUUUUGUUUAUUAUAUUACAUGUCUUGUUACAAAAUGAAUUAUCAUAAAGUACGAUAUAAAACUUAAUACUACCUAAUUAUAAUAUUUUAUUUAAUUAUUUCAAAAUUAAAAAAAAAAAUCUAUUACAUCAUAUUAUAUCUGAAAUAUAGAACUUCGUAAAAAUGUUUCAAAUCUUUCUAUUUUCAAUCAAAAUCUUUAAAAAGUAUUAUUUUAGGUUUCGAGGUUCUGUACUCAAAUAGACUAAGUAAAAAAAUUCCAUAAAUGACGUCAUGUUUGGAUCAGAGAAUAGAAAAUAAAAAGGCAAAUUAUUCAAAGUAAAUGGAAGAGAAAAGAAAUAAGUAAAAGGAUUUAUUAUUAGUAUAUUUUUAAUUAUAUUACAAUAAAUAAAAAUAAAAAUAUUAAUAAAAUAUUAUGAUUUAUGUCACCUUUAAAUGUGUCUUUGAGUUGAAAAACGCGACUAAAUUGUUUCCAAAUUCAGAUUUUUUAGCCUCAUGGUGAGAGAUCUUCACAUAUUUUGAUGUAAUAUUUCUAAAUGAAGAGUAAUCAUCAAUGUGGUAGGUUCUACAACAAUUACUUUUACUAUUUCACGCAAUUAACUACACAUGUAACCUUCAACUAUUGGCUAAAUUAAAACAAUUACAAUUACCUUAUGUAUCCUUAAAAUUUAAUAUUAAAAAAGCAUAGAAACCUUUUUAGGCCUAUGCAAUGCAACCUAAGAUAUGUCAUUAUACAGUAUUGUAAAUAGCGAAUACUAAAUAUAAUACUAAAUCUGCCAAAGUUUCAAUAGAUGUCCUAACUCCAAAGGUAAUUUUCAAAUAGCUCGUUCAUUAAAAUAGCUUCAUUAGCUGAUCGUAAGAGAGAUCCAACGUUCUCUAUUGAAAUACUACAUUUUUUUUACUACAGAUGAACCAUAAUAGACAAGAUAUGCUGAUGUGCACCAUAGUAUUUAUUAUUAAUGUAUUGGAAAGUUAAUGUCAAAAAAUGUAACAACUAAUAUAAAUAAUGCAUUAGUUAGAAUAAAUAAUUAAAAAAAUUAAUAAUUAACCACACCUCAGGUAUAAGAAGAUAAAAAAUGAAUUUAGUAUAUUAAAAAAAUGAAAGGUAUGAAAAAACUUAUUUAAAAUACUAUGAAACUAUUUCGGCUACAUACUAAUGUGUGGGAUUCAAAAACUUUAAUACUCACAAAAAUAGAAUUAUUAGCAUAAUAGUUAAUUCCAAAACUUAACAUUCUAUUCUUAUAAUAACAAAUAGAUCAAAUUUAAAAAAUUAUAAAAAAAUAAAGUACAUCAAUUUUGUAAGUGACUAACAAUUUUAAUAUUAUCAAUAUAACUAACAAAUAUAUAGAAAACUUUAAAAAUAUUUGAAAAAAUAGUCAAAAUAUAUAGUGCGAAAUACGAUGUUAUAACCAUAAAAGAACUGAGUACAUAACAUAACAAGCAUGGUAGCUAAAGAUGACAGAAUAAUAUAUCAGACCAAGAGUAUCCAAAAAUAAUGCAGUUAAAAUCCAACAGAUAAAAACAUCAAAAAAGUUCUCGACAAAAAAACAAUUGAUAUGGAGGAAAGCAAGAAGUGUGAUUUAGUCGACUUCCUCAAUCUUGGGGCCAGCGCCACUUCCACCAGAAGGAGUAUAUUCAGUAUCUGCCGGAGGAGCACCACCCAUGUCUGGACCAGCACCACCCUGGUACAUUUUGGCAAUGAUAGGAUUGCAGAUGCUUUCCAAUUCCUUCAUUUUGUCCUCAAACUCAUCUGCCUCUGCAAGCUGGUUGCUGUCCAGCCAUUGGAUAGAUUGCUCAAUAGCGUCCUCAAUCUUCUUCUUGUCAGCAGGAUCCAGUUUGCCACCAAUCUUCUCAUCCUUCACUGUGUUCCUCAUAUUGUACGCAUAGUUUUCCAAGGCGUUCUUGGCUUCAACCUUCUUCUUAUGCUCUUCAUCCUCGGAUUUGUACUUCUCAGCCUCUUGAACCAUCUUCUCGAUAUCAUCCUUCGACAGUCUACCUUUGUCAUUGGUGAUGGUGAUCUUAUUUUUCUGGCCAGUGGUUUUAUCUUCAGCAGAGACAUUCAAAAUACCAUUGGCAUCAAUGUCAAAGCACACUGUAAUUUGUGGAACACCCCUGGGAGCAGGAGGAAUACCAGAAAGUUCAAAUUUGCCCAACAAAUUGUUAUCUCUGGUCCUUGCUCUCUCACCCUCAAAGACCUGGAUCAACACACCAGGCUGGUUAUCAGAGUAUGUUGAAAAAACCUGCUCCUUCUUUGUUGGAAUAGUGGUGUUCCUAGGGAUCAGGACAGUCAUCACACCACCAGCGGUCUCCAACCCAAGAGACAGAGGAGUAACAUCAAGAAGGAGAAGAUCUUGAACCUUCUCAUUGCCCUCACCACUUAAGAUCGCUGCCUGAACAGCAGCACCAUAAGCAACAGCCUCGUCUGGGUUAAUGCUCUUGCAAAGCUCCUUUCCAUUAAAGAAGUCCUGGAGUAGUUGCUGAACCUUGGGAAUUCUGGUAGAACCACCAACAAGGACAACAUCAUCCACACUUUUUUUGUCCAUCUUAGCAUCCCUUAGACAUUUCUCCACUGGUUCCAUACAUUUUCUGAAGAGAUCCAUAUUGAGCUCCUCAAAUCUGGCACGAGUAAUGGUGGAGUAGAAAUCAAUUCCCUCGUAUAGAGAAUCAAUUUCAAUGGUAGUCUGGGCAGUAGAAGAUAAGGUUCUCUUAGCCCUCUCACAUGAGGUCCUCAACCUUCUAAGUGCUCUGGGGUUUCCACUUAUGUCCUUCUUGUUCUUUCUCUUAAACUCUUGUACAAAGUGGUUCACCAUCCUGUUAUCGAAAUCCUCUCCUCCAAGAUGUGUGUCACCUGCUGUGGCUUUCACCUCAAAGAUGCCCUCCUCGAUAGUAAGUAAAGAAACAUCGAAUGUCCCACCACCAAGAUCAAAGAUUAACACAUUCUUCUCACCCACACUUGUUGCUUUCUUGUCGAGACCAUAUGCAAUGGCAGCUGCGGUAGGCUCAUUGAUAAUACGCAUGACAUUAAGACCAGCAAUAACACCAGCAUCCUUAGUAGCUUGACGCUGAGAAUCAUUGAAGUAAGCAGGGACAGUAACAACAGCAUUCUUUACUGUAGAUCCCAAGUAAGCCUCAGCAAUCUCACGCAUCUUCAUGAGCACCAUUGAAGAGAUUUCUUCAGCAGCAAAUUGUUUCUCCUCACCCUUGUAGUUAACUACAAUUGUUGGCUUAUCAGCAGGACCAGCAAUGACCUUGAAAGGCCACAAUUUGAUAUCACUCUGAACAGGGGCAUCGGUGAAUCUACGACCAAUCAACCUCUUUGCAUCUGUGAUACAAAAAUAAGCCUAAAAAUAAGCCAUCGCAUACCUCACUAAGUACACAAAAUUCAAAUAUUAUCGAAAACUUCAAGCAAACUGGAACUGAAAAGAUAAGCGCUUCUAUUAUAAUUGAUCAAGGUUACGUAUUUAAACUAUCACUUAGUAUGUAUAAUUGUCUCCGUUCUAAAACAUAGUUCCUAUAGAUGACCUCCUUUUAUAUUUAAAUAUCCGCAUUUGUUCUUAUUUUAAAUUUCAGUUCCUCGGUUUUUUUUUAAGAAUUAGUUACUAUACAAAAAAGCUAACCCGAUACAGAGAAAAUUUAUUUUAUGUAACUAAAUAUUCUUCCUCGGUAAUAGCUACAAAAGACAAAAACCUUACUACAGACACCAAAACUUGGACGUUUCUCAUAUGGAAACUAAAAAUAGAGAUAAUUAAAUAAAACAGGUCAAUAAUGUAACCAAAUUUCUACAACACCGUAGAUCUAAAUAACAGGACAUAUUAUAUGCACAUUAUUAUUAUCAAAAACUAAAACAUAGAUAAAUAGAUAAAAGAGAAGCACGAUACUAUUCAUUGGCACGGUAAAAAUGUAGAACAGAAAGGGUGUGCUUAAGAAAUGUUACCAAAGACGGUGUUGAUAGGGUUCAUGGCGACUUGGUUCUUGGCGGCGUCACCAAUUAGACGUUCGGUGUCGGUGAAUCCAACGUAAGACGGCGUCGUUCUGUUGCCUUGGUCGUUGGCAAUGAUUUCAACGCGGUCAUGUUGCCAGACCCCAACACAAGAGUACGUGGUUCCAAGAUCGAUUCCGAUAGCAGGACCUUCACCUUUACCGGCCAUUGUUUUUCAGCGUGUGUCGAAGAAAAAACGAUAGAUCUCAGAGGAAGGAAGAAGAUGAUAAACCACAGCGAGACACCACUGUGAUUCAAUAGAGACCUAUGGAGAAUAUGAUAGCUUAUAUAAUUAGGGUUUGAAGUCCUUCCAGAAUCUUCUUUUAGUCCGAGAAGUCGUUGCCAGUUGGCUACACAUAAUUUUCACGUUUCAAGAUCUGAUUUUUUCCAAAUCGUGGGCCCUUAGCGGGCCCGACUUUUUUGAGCCGACCCAAUAAGUCAGUAACAACUUUUGUUGUUUACAUCACUGAUCAAUUUCCUGUCAUAAUACCAAAAUGUGAUUAGUAAUGUAAUACAAUACCCUCCACCACAUUUCCCCACUUAAAUUAUUCAAUCAAUCAUUAAUAUAAAUACUUUUACAGUAACUUGGUCACUAUCUAUCAGGUACAAUAAAUUCUAUAAAAUAUAUGCAAAUUUAAAUGUUUGAUUAAAAAAUGUAUGAUAAAAUAACCAUGUGCAAACAUUAUACCUAUAAUUCGGUAGUAUGAAAAACACACGAUAUGAGAUCUAUAAACACCUAUUUUAAAGCGUGGCUAGAAAAUUGUAAUAUGCAAGCUAUAUGUGAAUAGCAAAAGGAAGAAGAGGAAGGGGAGAAAAACAAGAUUGUGAAUAGAAAAAGAUAACAUACUAUAAUUUUUUCCAUGUACAAAUCUAUAAAAAAAAAGGAUUUGGAUUUGGAUAAAAGGCAAAAAAAUCUAUCCAAUUAUAUUGUAUAUUAUAACCUAAAGCAUAUUAGAUGGGAUUCGAAACAAUAUGUCUAGCAACUUGGUUGUCAUAGUAGGCAAAAGUUUUGUAUUUUACUUAAGAAGAUGGAUGGAAAACAAUAUUAUGUUUCUUGAAUUUCCAUGAAAUUAAGGGUGAUCCCAAAUAGAUGCAUUAUCGGGUGAUUAAACACCUUAUGCUCGAAAUCAAAAUCACUAAAGGUCUUUAAUUUAGUGGUAUAACUAGAGGGAAAGAAAAUGUCUAGCAAAUGAGGGACCUUGAUAUAUCUUAAACCAUAAUGAGUUGCACAAUGAUCAUAAACAAUUGUUGUUGACUGCAUAAAUUGGCUCAAGAAUUGAACAAUAGGUUGUAUCCAACAUGGGGUUUGUCAAAUAAAACAAGUGUUUAAGGAGUCUUCGAUAUGAACUCGUUUCGUAGAUGCAAUUGUUAUGCUCGUACAUAUGUUUGUAUCUUGUGUUAUGAAAGUAUUGCAAGACGACAAGCAUCCCAGAAUAAGCAAGGAUAUCAACGGUGUAUUUUCAUUGACAAAGAUGUAUUCAUUUGGUUGCAUGUGCAAAUUCCAAACCUAAGAAGAAUUUGUCAUUGUUGGUUGGGGUUUAGUCUUAUUCUUUUUGUGUUUUGUCGCGCUAUAGUCUAUAUUGUUGCAUUGUAUUUUUUCGUUUAUUGGGUUUGGCUUUUUAGAUUGAAGGGGAGUUUGCAUUUUUUAUUUUGUCGCUGCUAGUUACUCUCUUCUUUAUCUCAUUUUUCAAGUUGUGUGUUUGCCUUUUAGGAUCACAAAGAUCUUUAGUGUUGGAUUGUGUUGAGUUUUGUUCCACCGCCGCUUGUAGAGGUACUUUGGUAUCUACAACGAGUUGGGUUGAUUCCUUUUUUGUUGUCUCCACUGAUAUGCAUUUGGGUUGCUUCAAUUUCGGAUAAGUGUUUUACAUUUUUUUACUUUUAUUAUUUGUUAUAUUAAUAGCUAAUAUUGUUGAUGAUAAUCUAUAUGUCUAAAUAUUUGUAAUUUAAUUUUAAAUAUGUUAGUUUUUAAGAUUAUUUUUUGUUAUGUUUCAAAUUUAUAAAUAUUAUUUAGAUUAAGAUAAAUAUAUUAGAUAUUUCGAAAGUUUAGAUUGAGAGAAUUUAUAUUUUAUUUUUUAUAAUAUUUUUUUUAUUGAACAUAUAUAUUUGAGAUGAAUAUUGGAAUUAAAAUUAUUUUUUUGAUAUUAUAUUUUUUUGAUGAUUUUUACUGUGCUUUGUUAUUGUUACUCAUACGUAGUAUGUUUUUUAAAAUUAUAGGUUGAAAAAGUAUAUAUUUUUCUAAAAAAACUGUUAGAUAGUACAUCGAUUAUAACUUUAACUAAUGUAAAAAUGAACAUAUUACAUCAAUUACAGAAAAAAAAAAAUUUGAUGUAAUAUAUAUUGCAGAAGUUGAUAAAUGAAACAAACAAGGACUAUUACAUUGGUUAUAAAAUAAAUGUUAAAUGUAAAGGACUUUCUAAACUAUUAGUAUCUACGUCAAUGAUGGAACCAAUGUAAUAAAUCUCUUAAAAUCGAUGUAAUUUUUUAACUUUCUCAUAUUUAGAAAACUUUAAUUGGAGACUUUGUUUAUGUACAACGAGUAUAAUACAAAUUUUAUAAGUUAUUGAUAUUUUGUUAGUGGUUAUUUUGUUAGUUGUUCUACUAAUAAAGAGUAGAAGUUAAAAAUUAAAUUUUGGUUUUAAUUAUAUCUUUUGGUUUUAAUAUAACACUUAUUACUUAGUUUUAGACUUAGAUCAUAUAAAAAAAAAUCUAAGGAUUAUCAUAGUUAUUCAAGAUUAAGAAACACACCCAUUUAAAUCCAACUUUAGUUCUUGGCGAAAAGGAUCUCCUACUAUCAAGAGAUGGAAAGAUAUGGUGAUUUUAUAACAUUUUAAUGUGUCAAAAAGCAAAACAUUUAAGAAAAUGAUUAAUUUAGUUUCAAGUUAUGGUUUAGGAUUUAAGUCACCUCCGUACCAUAAGAUAGAGUAAAGUACUUGGAGGAAGAGGUUGAGUAGGAGAGUAGUACCCAUUUGUUUUUCGAGUGUAGAUUUGCAUGGUUAUUGUGGAACCAUUGUUCUGUAUGGUUGAGGGUGCAGAAUGCGUUUCACAACAUCUCACUGUUAAACUUAUCUCAGUUUAUGUUGUGUAAUGUGCAUGCUUUGGUAAAUGAGGUUUGAGGAGUGAUUUUGAUCGCAAUAGUCAACGAGGGUUGGAAGCAUAGAAAAAGAGUAAUUUUUAAAGGGGAUGUAGUGGAUAUAUUGGAAGUUUUUGCAUUGGUUCAAUUAAAGGCUUGGAUACGGGUCACAUCUAAGUCACAUUUUGCGUUUUUUUUCUUUUUCUUAUUGGUGUUUUGACCAUUUAGUUUGUAUGAAGAUGAUCUCAUAAUGUAAGUUAAAGGUUGUGUUUAUGUAUAAGGAUUAAAACACCUCUCAAAUAGUUCAUAUUUAAUUAUUUUUUAUUGCUUAUAAAAAGAAAUUGAAAAAAAAGGUAAAACAACUAUAUAUGUUUUUGAAGGUUCAUAUCACUUCAUGGAAGAAAAUAUAAUAUAAUUAGUAAUAGAUGGAUCGCGAGAAAAGGGACUAUAUUAAUUUUCUUAGCUAAAAGUCUAAAAGGGAAUUGUUUCUCUAAAAUUUAUUUAUGCAUUUGCUAGUUAAAAAACAAUUGAUAAAAUUUAUAAAAUGUUGGAUGACAUUAUUAAAUAAAUCGGCGUGAAGAACGUUGUCCGAAUUGUAAGGAACAAUUGAAAUCAUGUUUGGGUCUGUUAUUCACACACCCAAAAAAUCAUGUCAAAAUCGUGUUUACAUGGCUAAUUUCAGUAAAAAAACAAAAGAUUCCCAUGUAUGAACUGAUAUCGUGAUAUGACAACUUUCUUUAAAACUAAUAUGUUACAAAACACGAUUUUAAAGAGAGAAGGACUUGAAAGCAUUGUGUUUUCAAAUUCAACUUGUCCAUUUUUAUGAUUUUUAAAAAAAUUAUUUAUAUUAAUAAAUUACAAACAAAAUUACACUUAUAUGAUGAAAAAACCGUCUAAAGUAAAACGGAUAGCAUAAACGUUGCAAACUAAUUAAAAUACCGUAAAUAGGUAAAAAAAAAUUUAAAUUGAUCAAAAUUGUCUUUGAAUUUUUAUUUACUUUUUUUUCUCAAUCUAAUAGUUUGAUUUAUAUUACAUUUUAAAAAUAAAGAAUGGACUGAAAUUGGAACAAAUUACUUAUUAUAUUUUAAUAUGAUAUCAUAUAUUUAGUGUAAUCCUUGUUCCCAAAACAUAAAGACAAACCCAACCCAUUGUCAUUUUUGUUUUUUUUUUUCUUUCUCUUUUCCUCUUUGUUUAUUCUUCAAUUUUUCUCUCAUACCUCAUUUAUUUAUUUAUUUCAAAAUCUGAUGACAUCCUGCGUAACUGAGGAGUCAGAUUACAUUUUUAUUCGAUUAGAUUAUUAAACAAAGUAAGUUUAUUUUUACUCUAAAUUUUUUUUAUUUUUUGUUUUACCCUAUCAUUUAGUCAUUCAUCUUAGUGGACCCAGUUGACUUUUCUCUUUAAUUUCUCUUUUCAUAUCUCAUCUAUUUAUUUCAAAAUAUGAUCAUAUCCUACGGUAACUGAGGAGUUUGACUGCAUUUUUAUCCGAUUAGAUUAUCAAAAAUAGUAAGUUCAUUUUUACUUUAAAGUUCUCUUAUUUUUUGUUUUACUCUAUGAUUUAGUCAUCAAUCUUACUGGGACCAGUUGAGAAAAGUGUUUUUAUCAAUUUGAUUAAGCUCAUACUAUACAAAAAUUUGGUAAUAUUUGGAUAACUUGCUCUAAAAUCCUAAAUUUUUUGGAGUGAUUCCCUAGUUUGAGGUAGAAAUUUCCAUCAAAAUAAGGAAUUUUAGGUAAGGGAAACUAACUUUAAUUUUUAAUAGUGGAGGGGACGUGGUCCCAAUAUUCAAUUUCUUUUGCAUGGAUGUUGUUUGUUUAUAUAUUGUGUUGUUUGUGUAUAUAUUAUUUAAACUUGUAGAAAUAUUAGAUUUUGAUAGUUUGGAAGUUAAAUAUUGUUUUUAAUGUUGGAAAGAUUUUUGAAUGUUAUAAAUUUUAAAAUGUUAUGUGAUAGAAUGAUAUGUAUUAUAUAUGAAUGAUGAAAAUUGUAUGAAAUUGGAUUUGUACAUUUGGGAUAAUGUAUGGACUGAUGUUUGUUUGUGUAUUAAGUAUUGAUGCCUAUAUGGUAACAAAAAUCUUCAAGCUUCACUGAUGAUUCACAUAGACUAAGAUAUUAGGCAGUGAGAAGCUGAUGGAGGAGUUCAUGCACAUCGUGACAUAUGAGAUGCACUACUUGAGGUGUAUUGAACUUAUCCUGAUCAUUUCUAUUGGAUUCGCUGCUAAUCUUUUGAUCAGAUGUUAGUCUCUGGUAGGACUUACUUAAUACGGGUCUUCUGGAAGACGAAGUGAGAUUGAAAUGAAAUUCAAUGAUUGUGAUUGAAAAUAGAUCAAUGUGUAUUCUAUAUGAAUGAUGAAAUUGAUAUUGAAAAUUUAUAUGACAACAUUUAAAGAAAUGUUUAUAAAUGAUUAGUUUGAUUGACUCUUUUUGCAUGAAUUAAAUAUGUUAUGAAAUUUCUUUUCAUUAGCUUAUUCUUGUUUUUCUUGUUGUGUUGUGAACUGCGAUGACAGUACUACGUACACGAGUAGAUGAUCAUACAGGUAGAGGAGAACCUUAAAGGCUUUAGAGUUUUUUUUGAGUUAUGGAUUUGUACAUAUUUAUAUUUCUAUAAGUCUUAAUCAUAUAUUAUGAAUGUUUUGAAAAACUCUAAACUUGUAUAGAAAUAUAUAGAAUGUGUAUUGUGAUAGUAUAUUAUUUUCGGAAUGUUACAUUUAGAGUUAAUAAGUAAUUAUUAAUAUAUAUAUAUAUAUAUAUUGUAUUUUAAUUUUAUUAACAGAUUAUUUAUGAAACAGGUAAUAAAUUUGUAUUAUAAUUAUUAAAUAUAAAAUGAUAUAAUUUAUUUAUUAAUAUGAGAGAAGAUUAAAGUUUUGAAUUUAACAAUAAUUAUGUAAAAAAAAUCAUAAUUUUUUUAAAUUUGCAUUUAAAAAUAUUUAAUUUUUCUAACUACAAAAUUAUAUAAUUUAUUUAUGAAUCUAACAAUAAUUAUGUAAAAAAAAUCAUAAUAUUUUUUAACUUUUCAUUAUAAAACAUUUAAUUUUAUCUAAUUUUUUAACAAUUUUAUGGUAAUAAAAAAAUAUAAAAAUCGAUCUAAAACAUAAUGAAAUUCGACUUCGAUGUUUAAUUCAAGUGGGCAUUUAAUGAAAAAUCAAAUCAUACCUAACAGUGAACAAAUUAAUUUUAUGUUUUACAAAUUCUUAAAAUAUGAAUAUUUAUAUAUUUACUUUUGAUAGUGAUUUUAAAACUUGUCUAUAUCCAACUUAAUAUAUUGCAAAAAGAAAUAAAAAUAAGUAUAUUCAUUAAAAUGAAUUAAUAUCGUUAAGUUUAUUAUAAAUAUAGGAGAAUCUUAAAAACUUUUAAGUUUUUUUUUAUAAUAAAUUUGUACCUAUUUAUAUUUCUAUAAGUUUUAAUCAUAUAUUAGGAAUAUUUCAAAAAAACUCUAAAUUUAUAUAAAAAUAUAUAAUAAUUAAAUUAUUUUCGGAAUGUUACCUAGAGUUAAUAAGUAAUUAUUAAUACAUAUAUAUAUAUAUAUUUAUUGUAUUUUAUAUUCUUUUUUUUAUAGUAUAUUUGAAUUUUAUUAACAGAAUAUUUAUGAAACAGGUAAUAAAUUUGUAUUAUAAUUAUUAACUAUAAAAAAUGAUAUAAUUUAUUUAUUAAUAUGAGAGAAGAUUAAAGUUUAGAAUUUAAAAAUAAUUAUGUAAAAAAAAUCAUAAUUUUUUUAAAUUUGCAUUUAAAAAUAUUACUUUUUCUAACUACAAAAUUAUAUAAUUUAUUUAUUGACAUGAGAUAAAAGUUAAAGUUAUGAAUUUAACAAUAUGUAUGUUAAAAAAAUCAUAAUAUUUUUUAACUUUUCAUUAUAAAACAUUUAAUUUUAUCUAAUUUUUUUAACAUUUUUAUGGUAAUUUUUCAAAACAUGUAAUUAUGUUUCAAACUUAUUUUUGAAUAAAUUAUAAUUAUAUUAGUAUAUAAAAAUUAUAUAUAAAAUUAUUUGUCAAAUAUAAAUUAUUUUGAAAUAUAUAUACAUAUUAAAAUUCACAUUAAAUUUCCUCUAAUUUUUUUUCGAAAUAAAUUAAUAUGAAACUUAGUUGCAGACAUAAUUUCUACAAAUUAACAUGAAAGUUACGUAUGAAAUUAAAGUUGCAUAAAUGUUUCCCUUGUAUUUAAAAAUUUGGUGGAAAGUUUCCGUGCUGUCUUUUUCACAUAAAAUUUAUUGUACUUUUUGUAGGAUUUCAAAUGUCUUACGAACUAAAUUCAAAUCUACAAGAAAGGUUUUUCAUAAAAAAAUCGUAAUAUGAAAAAUUAUAAUAGUGAUAGUUUGAUUAUUGCAAUAUGAAAAAUUAUAAUAGUGAUAAUUUGUUUUUUUUUUCACGUGACAUAUUCAAGCCACAAAAGUGAAAAUAAUUUAUUAUUUUAAGGGAUAGUUGAUUAUUUUUGGACAUGCCUUAUAAUACAUACAUGAACAUGUAAUUAUAAAAAUAACAAUUAAAUAUACGUAAAAAAAUUAUUAAAUAAAAAUUAUUUUUUAGACCAAAAUAAUUAGUUACUAAAAUUAUUAAAUACACUAAUUAGACUAUUUUAUAAACUAAAAACUUAUCAGUAUUUAAAUUAAUUUAUAUUAUUAAUAAUUUAUAAAAUAAUUUAUAAAUUGAUAUCUAAUUAUUAGCUAUCAAGAUUUUAAUUAUUAAUUACUUAUAUUUUAUAUUAGUCUCUGUUAAUUUUUUAAGAGACUAAUUUACAAUUUAAAAUAUUAAUAGUUAAAACGUUGAUCAUUAAUUUAGAAAUUAUUUUAUAAUUUUUUAUUAAUAAUAGAAACAAUUUAAGAUACCAAUAAUUUUGUUAUCUUUAAAUAAUAUUUAAUUUAAUUAAUAUAGUAAUUAAUUAUUUUUUGUCUAAUAAUAAGUGUUAUAAAUAUAUAUUUUUUCGUAAUAAUCAAUUAUGAAAUUGAUUUUAGACAUUAGUGUAUCUAAUUGUGUGGGAAGGUUUCACAUAGCAAUGCUUGAUAAAUCAAGUGAUAGUGAUGACAAGUGAAUGUAUGAAACAUUUAUGUUGUUUUUUUUUAUCAGCAUGAAACAUUUUUGUUGAUGUCUACCUAUACCUAAUGUCCAAGAUAUUUAAAAAUGGAUUAGAUUUCAAUGACAACAUCGUGAUGAAGAAUGACUUUUAAGGGGUGGAUGAAAAAUAUCACAUUGAGACCAUUAUUGUUUUUUACUUUUAUUUAACAAUUAAGAUAUUAUUAUUUCAUUUCAAAUUUUUGUUUAUUUUUAUUAAUUAAAUAUAAUAUUUUAUUAUUGGAAAGAGUUGUAAAUUGGAUAAGAAAAAAAAAAUGUGAAUCUCAAAAAAUAAUUUUUGGAGAUUUUAUAUAUGGAUACAAUACUUUUUGCAUAUAUUUUUAGCACUAAUGCUUAUAAGUUAUAAGAUGUACAUUGUAACCCGAAACAAAUUAUCUCCACUUUAUGGAUAGACGAAAUUUUAGUAGACGCAUUAUUGUAUACGACGUUGUGUGAAAAUCAUAAUAAUGGGUAUUUAGUGUUUGAAUACUAAGAUAAAAAAGAUGUUCACAUAACUAAAGAAACAAUGUGUCGAUAAAUUGAAGUCUCAACUCAUUCUUAUUUGCUCUUCUGUAACAUAUUUAAGUUGUUUUUGUUUUAUAUUUUGAAAAGCAUGAAGACAAACUUGUAAAUAUGUAAGAAUAAAUUAUUUUUUAACAAAAAGAAUAUUCAAAUAUUUUUAUUGUAUAUCACUUAAUAAAAUAUUUUUUUUUAUCUAUUUCUUCAUUAUUUUCUUUGUAUCACAUUACCUAUUACAUUUAAUAUUUUCUUUAUUUUUACUAUUUCCCCCUAUCUUUUCUACAAUAGAAAAAUAAGACAUGAAAGAAAAAAACAACAACAUAUAAAACAAGAAUAAAAAAAUAAAACCUCUUUAAUUCUCUUUUCACUUUACAAAGCUAAUUUUAAAAAUAACUUUAUACUACUUAAAUUUUUAUGCAAAUUCUAAUAAAAUUAAAUUUAAAAUAUAAAUUAAUAUUUUAAAAAAAUUAUGUUAUUAAUAAUUAUUGUUACUUGAAAUAUCAGCUGAGCUGAAAUGUUAAGUAACAUAGUGAUUUUGUAUAAAAAAAUAAAAAAACUAUGAGAUUAUUGGGCUCAAUUCCCUAUCUAGCAUCAUUUACACUUUUAUUUCCCUAUUUAGCACCCUUUUAUUUUUUAUUUCCCUAUCUAACACCAUUUCAAAAAUAAAUAAAUAAAUAAUAAAUUAAUUUUAUUUUAUAAUUUUAAUUUUGAAUACAUUAAAAAAUAAGUAUUUUUAAUGUUUAAAAUAGUUAGAAAUAUAAUUAAUGAAUAAAUAAAUGAGUUUUUACAAAAUAAAAAUAAAAAAGUAAUAAAUUAAAAAUGUUUAGUUUAAUUUUUUUUUUAAGAAUUAAGAAAAUAAAAAAUUAAACUCUACAACAACAUAAAAGUUGAAUCUAUAAACAUAAAUUAGUAUUUAUUUUUAUUAUUAUUGAUGAUGUAAUCAUGUAAAUUUCAAGUAAAAAAUAUAAGACAUAAUUAUAAAAAAAUCAAAGUUAAUUAGUAUUAAUUAAUAUUGAACUCACAAAUAAUAUUGAAGUGUCUAUCUACCCUAAAUGCAAAAUCCUAAAAACAAAACUAAUGCAAUUGCUACACUUAAUGCUUAAAUAUGAGAAGAAGAAAAAUGUAAAAAUAAAUAAAUAUAGAAAAUAAAAAUAACAACAUUGCAAGAGAUCUUUCAUGUUACGAAAUACUAUUUGAUGGAACUAAAAAAUGAAGAGCAUUGGCCUGCAUACACUAGUCAAAUACUAUGCCCAAGGCCCGACAUGAAAAUAACCUCAAAUGGGAAACCUAAGUCAAGUCGAAUAAGGACUGAUAUUGAUAUAAGAGAACAACAUGAUCGAACAAAAAAAUGUUCAUAUUGUUAAACACCAGGACACACAAAAAGAACAUGUCCCAACAUUAUUGGAUUGUGCUUUUCUCGUCCUUAAUUAUGUUUCAUUUCGCAUAAACUAUUUAAUGUACCAUUGAAGAAAAUAUUAAAUGAAUGAUUAUCUUUCAUUUAUUUUUCUUUUUAUGAUCAACAUCUACUUAUUUAGUAUCGUCUUAUAUCUCUUAUCUUAAUCUUGUUUAGAUUUUUUUUUAUAUCUUUGUAUAUUUAUCUUAUUUUGUUUUUCCUUUAUUUUAUAUCUUAUAUGUUUUUAGUUAUUAUUUUUUUCUGUCAUUGUUUAUUUAUUUUUGUUUUUUGUUUUUAUUUUAUUAUUGUUGAUUUUAUUUUCUAUACUUAUUUAUUACUUUAUUUUAUUUUUUUGUCUAUUUUUUUUCUUCUUUCAUUUGCAUNNNNNNNNNNNNNNNNNNNNNNNNNNNNNNNNNNNNNNNNNNNNNNNNNNNNNNNNNNNNNNNNNNNNNNNNNNNNNNNNNNNNNNNNNNNNNNNNNNNNUUAUGUCCUGUAUUUUUUACUUGAAAUUAACAUGAUUACAUCAUCAAUAAUAAUAAUAAAUAUUAAUUUAUGUUUAUAGAUUCAACUUUUAUGUUGUUGUAGGGUUUAAUUUCUUAUUUUCUUCAUUCUUAAAAAAAUAAUUUUAAACUAAACAUUUUUAAUUUAUUACUUUUUUAUUUUAUUUUGUAAAAACUCAUUUCUUUAUUCAUUAAUUAUAUUUAUAACUAUUUUAAACAUUAAAAAUACUUAUUUUUUAAUGCAUUCAAAAUUAAAAUUAUAUAAAAAAAAUUAAUUAAUUAAUUAUUUAUUUUUGAAAUGGUGCUAGAUAGGGAAAUAAAAAAUAAAAGGGUGUUAGAUAGAGAAAUAAAAACAAAAGAGUGCUAGAUAGGAAAAUAAAAGCAAAAUGGUGCUAGUUAGGGAAAUAAAAGUGUAAAUUGUGCUAGAUAGGGAACUUAACUAUAUUAUCUUUUAAUAAAGUCUUAUAUAUUGUAUCAUGUUCCUAUCUUACACCUUAAAAAUUCACAUGCUUUUACAAAUUUGCAAGUUCUUCACCUGACAUUUUAAUAUUUGCGUAUAAGAUGUUUUUAGCAAACAAGACAUUUCUUUAUGCGUUGAAAUAUUAUUUUUAUUUAAAAUAUUUUUUGGUUUGGGUUAGAUGUACUAAUUUAAGUUUUUUAUUACUCAUAUAUUUUGCUUAACUAACAUUUUAUUUAAUAGAAAUCAAUAUCAAAUGUUUGUAAUCCAUUAGUUGACUUGGAAAUUGCAAAACAACUCAAAAUUUUAUUAUUGUUGGUAGUAACAUGGAUAUUUAAUCAUCAGCUUGCUUAACUAACAUUUAUUUGAUAUAAUCGGAUGUUGACUUUAAAAUUGUAAAAUAAGACGAUAUUUUUAUCAUAUAUUAUUUAUGAAAUUCUAUUUUAUAAAUCAUCUCAAAAUUUUAUCAUUAUUGUAGAAGCAUGAUAAUUAAGAAAAACACGUGAAUAAUAUUUGGAUCCUUUCUACAUGAUCUUAUAUAAUAUUCAUGGAAUCUGGUUAAGCCAUAAUGUAAUGAAUAUACGUGGGCUUAUCAUACAUAUUCAUGACGGUUGGAUAGUUUAUUUUUAUAAAUUUUUGAAGAAUCUUUUGCUUGAAGAGUUAGAAUAUAUGAGAAUGAGUUUGAUCAUGCUUUAUCUUUUAAAAUUAUUCAAUACACUUAUUUAUCAUUAUUUAUCAGUAGAAUUCUUUAAUAAUUAUUAACAAACAUAAUUUGUUUAAUAAAUUCAUCAGUAAUAGAAUAUUUUCUUGUAAUAAUAUAGAGAAAUUCAUAAUCAUAUUAAUAUAAUUUAAUAUAAUUGUGAAUGAUCUUAUUGGUCUGGAAACUUAAAAUAUUAGACAUAAUAAACAUUAUUUUAUGUGUCAUUAAGAACAUUGUUUAUCUUUUUUUUAUAACAUCUUUAAUUUUUUUUUUGUCUUUAUUAUUUAUGAUGGUAGCUAGAAUAAGGGAGUCUCUUAUGUCCACAAAAGAUGACAAGUAAAUAUGACCCACCACAAAGAACAUAAUUUUGGUUAAAACUAUGCAAUUGUCUCAUCUAUUCCAAAGAUCCUAAGGAACUAUACGAGGAUCAGUAAAGGGCACUACAGUUAAAAAAGAAGCACAUUCGAAUCAUAAUUUCAUCUAUUAUUCUCUUUCAAUAACAAUAAUGGCACCCAUAAUUCUGCAUAAAACGGCUGUUUAUUACCCUAAGGAAAAUAACAAAGGAUCAUUUGCUUAUAUUUAUCACAUCUUUGAAAAAUUCUCCACUCCCAAUUGAUUUAACAUAAGCGUCACCCCUAUUGCAUUUUAACCAUAGAACAAAGGGUAGAUCAUAAAGUAUCUCUUUAAGUUGGAAGACUUUUUUGAGGUGCCCACCAAUGAAUUUUGCCAUACACUUGCCAAUUAAAAACAAAAUUAUAGUAAAUACAUUUCAAACAUAUUUACGAAGAAGAAGAAAAAUAUGAAUAAAAUUUUAAAAAAUCACCAAACCAUUAUAUAUAUAAAGUAAACAAUACUUACCUAUAUAUACUAAUAUUAAUGAGUGCAUGAUAUAAUAAACUUUAGUUAAUAAAUUAAUUUUUUUUUUAAAUUAAAGAUGAAUUGAUAUUUAUUACUUUUAAGUUUGAUUUUAUUAGUGUAUAUAUUGUUAAUUUAAUAUUAAAAAUUGCAGAGUCAUAAUAUCUAGAAGGUCAGAUUUACAGAAUUGGAUAGAGCAAUGGACAAAGAUGUUAUGUAAUUAUAUUAUGACAACAUAUUUUAUAGCAUAUAUUAUACGUCACAUCGUUAAUUAUAUUAAAUAUUUAGUAGAAUAUUGAUAUAUAAGUGUCAAAUAUCACAUCGUAAUACAUAAAUAAUUAUUUUAAAUCUUUAAAAACGUAAAUUUUACUUUAGGUCUAAAUAUAUUUUUUACUUUAUGUAAAAUUAAUAGAUUUUGAUUCUGGUUCCUAACUCUCUUUUUUAUUUAUUUUUAUAAAAUUUAAAAUAAUAACUUAAUAUUUAUAAAAUAUGUGAUUUUUAGUUUUAGCUUUUUUAAUUUUUUCAUUCAUUUAAAAUUUUAAAUAAUUAUUUUUAAUUUAUUAUAUUAAUACUAAGAUAGAUGAAUAAUAUUUUCUCACAGAUAGCAAGAGUUCUUUUGAAUUGAUUAUAUUAUUUAAUUACCAUAUUAGUAUUUGUCACUUGGAACGAUUGUUUAAUUCUAAAAAAUAAACAAGUAGUUAAUUACUAUCAUAUAAUACUGAGACUAACCUAAAGUAUAUUUUUUAGUUUAUGUAAAAUUAAUAGAUUUUGAUUCUAGUACUAACUUUUUUUUAUAUUUUUUAUAAAACUUAAAUAAUUGUUCAUAUUUAUGAAAUAUGUGAUUUUUAGUUAUUUUUUUAAGUUUUUAUUAAUUUAAAAUUUAAUAAAUAAACAUUAAAUUUUAUAAUGUUAAUAUUAAGAUAGAUGAAUAAUAUUUUCUCAGGGAUAUUAAGAUUUUUUUGAAUUAGUUAUAUUAUUUACUAUAUUGUUAUGUAUCACCUGGAACGUAUUGUUAAUUUUUUUGUUAAAUAAAUGAUUAGUUAGUUAUUAUCAUAUAAUAUUAAGAAUAAAAGACAAUAACUUUUAGUUUUAAAAGAAAAAAAUAACUUCACUUAUUAAAAUAAAAAUCAUUCUUUUUCCACAUACUAGNNNNNNNNNNNNNNNNNNNNNNNNNNNNNNNNNNNNNNNNNNNNNNNNNNNNNNNNNNNNNNNNNNNNNNNNNNNNNNNNNNNNNNNNNNNNNNNNNNNNAUAUAUUUAACUCAUUAAUAUUAUCACGAAACUUCAAGUGGUUUACAUUUAAAAUUUAAAGUCAACUAUAUUUAAUUUUUUAAUUAAUAGCUAAGAUUACUUUACCUUUAAAUCAAGUUAUAUAAUCUAAUCACUUAAAAUAAUCAAAUAACAAUCAAUUUAGAUAAAAAAUAAUUACUCUUUAUAUUUAUUAAAUUAAAUACUAUUUUAUAUAUUAAAAAUUAUUAAUAUCUAAAAUAUUUUUUAUUAGUAAUAAAAAUAUAUAACUUAAUUUUUUAUUGUUAUCUAACAUUAGCUAUUAAUUAUUUUAUAUUAUAAAUUAGUUACUAAUUUAAUUAAAUAUUAAUUUAAAACUUAAAAUAGUUAGUGUAAAAAAUCUUGAUAGCUAAUAUUAGAUGUCUAUCUAAAAGUUAAUUUAUAAAUUUCUAUUAAUAGAAAAUUGUUUAGAUAUCAAUGAUUUUUUUAUUGGUGUAUAAAUAGUUAAUUUAUAAAUUUCUAUUAAUAGAAAAUUGUUUAGAUAUCAAUGAUUUUUUUAUUGGUGUAUAAAUAGUAUCUAACUUAAUGAUUAAUUAUUUUUUAUUUUUAACUUAAUUAAUUGUUAUUUAAUAAUAUGCUUGUUAAAAUUUCUAGUCUUGAAAAUGAGAUGAUAUUAUCUUUCAUAUUUUAUAUAAAAAAAAGUAAAUUAAAGUGUUUUCAUUAAUUAUAAUAAAUACAAACUUAUUUAGAAGUGUAUUUAUUUUGUUAAUUCUCUUAGUGUUUGAAUACACAAAUUUAAAAGGAUAACUAUUUCUAUAACAAGUUUAAAAUAUUUGGUGACAAAAUAUAUUGUUUGAAUAAGUAAUUUAAAAAAAAAAUUAAAAAAAAAAAUCAAGUUUCAUUUAGAAGUAAAAGUUUAAAUUAUUUUGUAUCUUCUAAAAUUGUCUUAUUUUUUUAUUUUUCCUUCUGGGGUUAGUUUUAAUUAGUGGUUCUCUUUCGGUCAAGUUCCAUUGGUUGAAUAUGUUCUGAUUAAUGUUGACAAGGUUAGUGGCUAAGAUUUUCUGUUGGAUGAUAGAGGCAAAGUGUUAUUAAAUAGGUGUAGAAGAAGGUGAAGAAAUUCUUGUAUUGCUAUGUGAGAAACAUCUUGAGUGAGUAAACUAGCUCUGAAGGAAGUGUUGGUUAAUUAGGUAUGUCAGAAACAUCUUCAAUCAGUAACACGAGAUCAGAGGUGUGGAGAAGCCGUGUAAGGUCUGCACUACGAACCACCUUGGCAUGCAGCAUAGCAGGUUGCAGCUACCUUUAUGGCCCUGCACCACUCCGACGCUACCUCACAUUCCCAGCUUUCAUAUACUCAACAACGCUCCUCAUAGUUUCAGAUGGCACACUCGGUGAUACGCUGAGAGGUUGCUGGCACGUGCUUUGCGCCAGCAUUCAGGUCAUGAUACUUUCCCUGGUCAGUGUGCAGGUGAUAGGACCCCAGAACUUCACCAGCCAUGUGGCUGCACUCGCCAUGGCAGCUUCUGCGUUUCUCGUUGCGUUGCCUGUUGAAUCCACCCACUUGGUCACUAAGCAGAUAGCGUUUGGACAGCUAGUGAAUGUUUACGUUAGGACUUCCAUUGAUGGUGGAGAAGGAUUCGCCACGCACACAAUUCAUGUGGUCUGCUGCACAGCCCUUGGAGCUGCGGCUUCUGUUCUCGCCAUGUUGCUCCCUUGCCCUCGCCUCGCCUACUUUCAGGUAUUAACAAUUUUCUCUUACUUUCUUUACAUACUGAAAUUCAAUGAUCUUAGCUUGGUGAUGUAGCUCAUGCAUUUCCACUACAUACAUGAAUAUACAUUUAAUAAUGAACAAUAUAUUUGUUAUAAAAUCAACGACGACUUCAUAAUCCUACUCAAUUUCUUACCAAUAUGUUGCUGUUUCUAGUUUGGUUUUUAUCAAACUAGCUCGUCAUUCACUUCUCUUUUUCUCUCUUUUAACAUCAAAUGAAAAUGUUUUUUUCUAAAUCUUAUAUGCACUAAUAAAUAUUAAUAUUUUAAUCAUUUAUAAUUUUUUUAAUUUUAAAAAUUAUUUUAAUAUUUUACAUUUUGUUUAUAUUUUUAUUAAUUUUUUUUUUUACAAAUAUUAAUAUUUUGUUAAAUAUAAGGUGUAACAAAGUGUAGAAAUAUCAUCACCUCACUCAAAUAUAGUAAACAACCUAUCAUACCUUUUACACCCAAUUAUAAUAAUAUAAUAAUAUUUUAAAUUAAAAAUAAAAUAAAUAUAAUAUAAUAAUAUUGUUUGUGGUGUCAAGUAUCACCACCCUUAUGAUAAAUUUGUUUAUGAUAUUUUUGGUGUUUUUAAUGAGUCGUGUCUUAUGAAGAAAAAAGUCACCAUAAAAUCUUAAUUUAGUAGGGACAAAAAAGUACGAAAGGAGUUAAAUAUUUUAAUUCACGGUCCACUUAUUGUGUCCUGCUUAAUCAAUCUAGAACCCGUGUUUAAUCAAUCUAGAAACCGUGUGGGCCAGGGAUUUAGUGGGCAUAAUCUCUAAAAAAAAUAAAUUAUUUUUAUUAAAAUAGAACAAUAAUAAUUAUAUUUUUGAGGUUUAGAGAAGAUGAUACUUAAUUAUUAUAGUUUUUAGUAGUUUAAAUAAUAAUUGUUUUUGUUUUUUUUAUGAAAAAUUUAACAUAUUUAUUUGAUCUAGAUGUUAGUAACUUAUUUAAAUUUUAUUGUUAAUGAUAGAUUCAUGUGUUGCUUUAAGAUUUUGUUUAUGUGCACUAGCUUUCAAGUAUGAGGGACAAGUUAAUAAAAAAAUCAUAAUUUAUUAAUAUUUAAAGUAAAUUUUAUUAUUAAUGAAAUUUAUAAAUUAAUUUUUAAUUUGAUAUCUAAUUAGCUACCAAGAUUUUAAAUACUUUUUAAAAUUAAUAGUUAAAACCUUGAUAGUUAAUUAGAUACUAAUUUAAAAAUUAGUUUAUAAAUUUUAUUAAUAAUAAAAACUACUUUAGAUAUUAAUAAUUUUUAUAGUCUUUAAAAUUUAAUUUAAUUAAUAUAUUAACUAAUUUUUUAUUUUAUUUUUAAAAUUAGUUUUUAUUUAGUGAUUUUCUUAGAAAUAAUUUAGAUAAAUUAAUAAAUUUAUUAUUUUGACAAUUCUUUUAGGAAAAAAAUGUUAAAAAUUAUCUUUUUGAAAAUACAUGAUAAUGGAGUAAUUUUUUAACAUUAACUUAUGGUAUAGUUUAAUAUAAUAAAAAGUUAAAAUCAAUUAACUAAUUCAUUCGAGGUUGAAAAUAUCUUGAAAGGAGGAAUUAAGGUUCCUACCUGGACUCCUUGUUUUAGCAUUGAUUGAUACUUCUAUUAGCAUACAGCAUAAGUCAACAAAACUCAAAACUAUAUGAAAAGAAACUUAUAUACAUUCCAAAAGGAAGGAUUAAGGAAUACUUUGGCACUGGCAUUCACUUCUUUUUUAAUUUCAUCAUUUAAUCAUUUAAUUGUAUGUCAAAUUGUAUAUAUGUGUUUAACUUUUAUUGGGAGAGCGAAAGUUAGAAAAUUUGGGACCUAAUGGAAUUUGCUAGUUAAAAUAACUCCAUUGCUAAAAAAUAAAACUGUUUUAUUGUAUAAUAUAUAAUUUGUAAAAUUAUACCCUAAUUUUAGUCUUUGUCACUUCUUUAAAGAAUAUAGACAUAUAUAAUAGAUUCUUGAUUGAACAAAAAAAAGGAAUAUGAAAACGAUGAGAAUGAGUAUUUAUAGGAGUUGGAUUAGCACCCCAAUAGUCAAAUUCAGUAAUAAAUUAAACAAAUCCCUGGACCAAACUUAUCUUAAGAGAUGAUAAUUCUCCAAAAAUCUGGCAUGUAAGAUUGAACAAUUACCCAACUUGAAAGUAAGAAGGGAAAUGAAAGAACAGUGGACACAACACUCCCCCACACUAUUAAAAAAGUUGACAAUUCCACAGGAGCAAUAUGGGCCGUGUGAUUGUUUCUACAUGAAAUUUAUGGUUAGGGUAAUAAUACAGUUACAAUCUUAUUUUUUUAUAUAAUUAUAUUAUAAUUUUUAAUACUAUUAUUUUAAUAUAUUUUUUUACAUUAUUUAAUUAUAAAUUUAUUUUUUAUUAUAUAUUUAUAUUUAAAUACAAAUCUGAUGGUUGUCAAAAGUAUUAUUUUUCUCAUGAUUACUAUUUUAACCCAUCAUAAAGGAAGAGAAUAAUGUAUUUUUUUAUGAAAAUAUACCUCCUUAACAUAUACAACUAAACAAAUAAGAAACAAGUAAACUUUUGUUUUAUAUAACCUCCUUUUACCAUUUUCAUUUGUUUGUGACAUAUAUAUUGCACAUUUUGUUUAAAACAAUCUUAAUACUACGUUAAAAAAUUAUUAUUCUUUUGAAAAUCAUUAUAUUUUACUUAAUUUCUUUUUAAUUCUCAUCAACAUUGUCUCGCAACAAAUUUGAAAUAAUUUAUAAGGACAAAUUUUCGAAAAGCUGUAGGAUAGCCGAACAAAGUAUCAUGUGUCCGUGUUCAAAUAUGUUGCACUAACAUAUCGACAAAUAAGAAGGAACAAAAUGAACCAACCAGACAACACUAAUGGUUGGAAGACAACUAUAUUAAAAGAAAAAAAUUUGGAAGGUAAAGCAUGUUAAAGAAUUAACAAUGUAAACCCACAAGUACUUUGUUGUGCAUGUUAUCCUACUGACAAAUUAUAGCAUUUUAUUCAAGAGGGUGUUCUGCUUUUGUUAUAAAACUUCAAUUUGUCAUUGAUUUCAUGGAUAUUUGAGGACAGUAAAUAAACACUAAUUACAAUUAACCUUACUUUCAGACGAGAAAUUUGUGUAGACUAUACAAUGAUAAUAUAAGUGAGAGGUUAAACUACAACAUAAAGGUCAUAUGUGCCUCAAACAACUCAGCUGGUGUUGGUUACUUCAGUCAAGCUAAGUCUCUCUCUACUUCAGGAGUCAAGCUUCUUCAGAGUAUUAGAAAUAAACUGGUGAGUUAAUGUAAAUAUAUAUAAAUCAUGGUAUUUAGCCCUAUCUUUGUGGCUUGAGGACCAAACAGUUAAUUUCCUAGGAGCUAAAUGUUUGGUUUUCAUGUUUUUUAUGAAACAGAAUGCACUCGAUUGGGAACAACUACAAACAAGAAUUUUCAAAUCUGAUUGGAUUGAUCCAGAAGAUAAACUACAAUACUUCGAGUUACCGAUAAGAUCUAUGGACAUUGCUCUAUCAACUUGUACUUUUCCUGUAAAGGUCAUUGAUGAGGAUCUCCAAGGUAUACUACUGAAAUGCAUAGGAGAAUUCAACAAACAAUUAGAACGACAAUCCAAAUUCUUUACUCCUUUUGAUGCAACCACAACAUCAGAGAUGAGAAAAGAUAUUUUGACCAAAAAUUUGUCAAUGGCCUAUAAAGAUCUCCCAGCCUCGUUUUUCUUAUACUGCAUGCAUCUACUCCUAGACGGCUCACCCAUUAUAAAGAAAAUGGACCCCAUGCUGAGAAAAACUUCGAAAAAUGGUAACUUUCAGUGGGGCAUCAACAAUAUUAGAGACAUUGUGAUGGAUUUAUUUCCCUCGAAAAGUAAUUUGGUUUUUCCACUUAAGUCCUCUCUUUCAUUAGGAGUUGCAGUGUUUUUGGGUUUGACAUAUAACAAGGAAAAUGGAUAUUGGUCAGGACUCACAGUCGCUGUCUGCUUCGUGACUGGCCAACAUUCAACCUUCUCACUUGCAAAUGCACGAGGACAAGGAACUGCAAUGGGGUCAAUCUACGGGGUCCUUUGUUGCUUCAUUUUUCAAAGAUUUAUGGAUAUAAGGUUCUCACUUCUUCUACCAUGGGUAUUUUUCUCUUCUUUUCUUAUGUAUAGUAGAAUGUAUGGUAAAGCUGGUGGGAUUUCAGCAGUUACAGGAGCUUUAUUAGUCAUUGGUAUAAACCACGAUGAAGAUCCAAGUAAAUUUGCACUUGCUAGAAUUGUUGAGGCCACAAUUGGACUCCUUUGCUUCGUUGCUGUUGAGAUAAUUUUUAAUCCUUUUAGAGCUUCAACUCUAGCAAAAGCUAAACUUGCUCAAUGUUUGAGAUCUCUUCAACAUUGCAUUGGCCAUAUUGCCAUUAUCAUUCCUAAUGAAAAAGAUAAGUCAUCUUUUAGCUAUCAAGCUUCAAAAGAAGGGCAUCUGAAGUUGAAAUCUAUGGUGAGUCAAUUAGAAGAGGUCACAAUGGAAGCUGAAUUAGAGCCAAAUUUUUGGUUCGUUCCAUUUCAUAAUGCCUGCUACAAAAAGAUGUUGAAAUCACUAUCAACAAUGGCAGAUCUCUUACUUUUUGUGGCACACUCAAUGGAAAAUAUCAAGCUAUUGUUGCAGGAAGAUGAAACAUUUUUUGUGGAUCUCCAUGAUCGAGUUAAUGAGAAUGUGGUGAGUGUCAAGAACAAAGUUGGCGUCACAUUGAAUUGCAUUGAAAAGAUAACAAGGAUAAAGUCUCAUGGGGAACUUGAAAAUGAAUUAAGGAACAUAAAACUUCCUGUCGAUAUUGAUAAACAAGAAUACCCCAGGAAAGAUGCAUUUUGGAUAUGGAAUGGAGAUGAAGAGGUCAAUAACAUUACAUACUCUUUUGUCCACCAUCUAGAGGAGAUUGCUAAUAAGAUCUGCACCAACACAAAUGAGGAGAUGCUUAAAUGUCAAAUGCUUUUUCAUUAUGGUUGUUUGGGAUUUUGUACCAGUAGUUGAUAAGAGAAACAAUAAAGAUUCACAAUGAAGUAAAAGAGCUACAUAUGUGGGAGAAUCCCUCAAGUCAAACAAACUUCAAAGAAGUUUUUCUAAAAAACUCAAGCUCAGUGCUCACAGAAAAUCAAGCAGUAUGACAAAAGGUGAUUAUUAGUUUUAUCUUUGUUCUUAUCUCAGUUAGUAUUAACCUUAUCUCUAUUAUUAAUUAAAAUAAAUAUUAUUAUACAAAAUUUGUCUUUUAUUAUUGAAUUAUGUAUAUAACUUGUAACAAAUGCUAUAAUAUGUGAGUAAAUAAUAAUAUUUGAAAUAAUAAUUCUUUUCUUCUAAAUAUCUUUUGUUUCUUUCUCUGUCUUUGAAUAAAUUAUGCCAUGAAUUUUACAUGGUAUUAGAGCUCUUCAAAGCUCAGUUGUGCACUUUUAUUGUCUUUCCUUAAUACUAGCGUCAUUUAUAUUAUUCCAUGACUUUGACCAAUUCUUUAAUCCUAGACGAAUCACUCAAUCCCCAUAAUCCAAUAGUGAAAUCAGUAAAUCAGUGUUUAGAAUCUAUUUGCAAGUAAUAAAAAUUAACAAUAACAAUAAAAAAAAAUGGGUUGAGAUAGUUGCGCAUAAAAUAUAAAAGAGAUUAAAACAAAAAUAAAAAGGGGUUGAUCCUCAAGUUCUUCUACCAUUGAAUUCUUCACAUGUUCUUUAAAGAUUAAUCAUUUCUCAAUCCUCCAACAGAGCUAAACCAAAUUGAACAUUGCCAAUCUUAUUCAACUGAACUCACCGCUAAAACAUGCGUGUCUAUUGGUUGAAUCAAUACCUACUUUGUUCCAUGCGUAUACUCCAUGGGAGUGCUUAUCUUCUCUCUCUUGAAUCAUGCACCUAAGAAAUUAAUUAGAAAAUUACGAACUAACUAAGAAAUCAAAGUUUAGGAUAAGGAAGACUCUUAAUCAUGCAUUCAAGUACAACCUCUCACAAAAACCAGUUUUCCAGGAGAUUAGAAUAUUAAAACAACUGCUAUAGAGAAUUUAAAAAAUGAAACUUUUAUUGAUCAAAACCUCAAAACUCAAUGGGAAAUUACAAAGGAAACGACCAAAAAGGUUUAGCCUUCCAUGCGGAGGCAAAACAAAAUAAUUACAAAGAAGAAAAGAA
rnacentral:lncRNA from 1 species